rnacentral:rRNA from 1 species
UAGGGAAUCUUCGGCAAUGGACGUAAGUCUGACCGAGCAACGCCGCGUGAGUGAAGAAGGUUUUCGGAUCGUAAAACUCUGUUGUUAGAGAAGAACAAGGACGUUAGUAACUGAACGUCCCCUGACGGUAUCUAACCAGAAAGCCACGGCUAACUACGUGCCAGCAGCCGCGGUAAUACGUAGGUGGCAAGCGUUGUCCGGAUUUAUUGGGCGUAAAGCGAGCGCAGGCGGUUUCUUAAGUCUGAUGUGAAAGCCCCCGGCUCAACCGGGGAGGGUCAUUGGAAACUGGGAGACUUGAGUGCAGAAGAGGAGAGUGGAAUUCCAUGUGUAGCGGUGAAAUGCGUAGAUAUAUGGAGGAACACCAGUGGCGAAGGCGGCUCUCUGGUCUGUAACUGACGCUGAGGCUCGAAAGCGUGGGGAGCAAACAGG